rnacentral:rRNA from 1 species
UGGCACUGCCGUUUAGGUCAUAUCGGUGUAAAGCGCAUGAAGAAACUCCAUACUGAUGGACUUUUGGAAUCACUUGAUUAUGAAUCACUUGGUACUUGCGAACCGUGCCUCAUGGGCAAGAUGACUAAAACACCGUUCUCUAGUACUAUGGAGAGAGCAACAGAUUUGUUGGAAAUCAUACAUACAGAUGUAUGUGGACCGAUGAAUAUUGAAGCUCAUGGCGGAUAUCGUUAUUUUCUCACCUUCACAGAUGAUUUGAGCAGAUAUGGGUAUAUCUACUUAAUGAAACACAAGUCUGAAACAUUUGAAAAGUUCAAAGAAUUUCAGAGUGAAGUAGAAAAUCAUCGUAACAAGAAAAUUAAGUUUCUACGAUCUGAUCGUGGAGGAGAAUAUUUGAGUUACGAGUUUGGUUUACAUUUGAAACAAUGCGGAAUAGUUUCGCAACUCACGCCACCCGGAACACCACGACGUAAUGGUGCGUCCGAACGUCAUAAUCGUACUUUACUAGAUAUGGUGCGAUCUAUGAUGUCUCUUACUGAUUUACCGCUA